rnacentral:rRNA from 1 species
UACGGGGGGGGCAAGCGUUGUUCGGAAUUACUGGGCGUAAAGGGCUCGUAGGCGGCCAACUAAGUCGGACGUGAAAUCCCCAGGCUCAACCUGGGAACUGCGUCCGAUACUGGAUGGCUUGAAUCCGGGAGAGGGAUGCAGAAUUCCAGGUGUAGCGGUGAAAUGCGUAGAGAUCGGGAGGAACACCAGUGGCGAAGGCGGCUCUCUGGCCUGCAACUGACGCUGAGGCGCGAAAGCGUGGGGAGCAAACAGG